ensembl:snRNA U2 U2 spliceosomal RNA
AUUGCUUCUUGGCCUUUUGGCUAAGAUCAAGUGUAGUAGAAACAGAAUAUAUUUUUAAAAGGGACUAAUAUUU